rnacentral:rRNA from 1 species
GACGAACGCUGGCGGCGUGCCUAACACAUGCAAGUCGAACGGAACUGUUUUGAAAGAUUUCUUCGGAAUGAAUUUGAUUUAGUUUAGUGGCGGACGGGUGAGUAACGCGUGAGUAACCUGCCUUCAAGAGGGGGAUAACAUUCUGAAAAGAAUGCUAAUACCGCAUGACAUAUCGGAAUCACAUGGUUCUGAUAUCAAAGAUUUUAUCGCUUGAAGAUGGACUCGCGUCCGAUUAGUUAGUUGGUGAGGUAACGGCUCACCAAGACCGCGAUCGGUAGCCGGACUGAGAGGUUGAACGGCCACAUUGGGACUGAGACACGGCCCAGACUCCUACGGGAGGCAGCAGUGGGGGAUAUUGCGCAAUGGGGGCAACCCUGACGCAGCAACGCCGCGUGAAGGAUGAAGGUUUUCGGAUUGUAAACUUCUUUUAUUAAGGACGAAAAAUGACGGUACUUAAUGAAUAAGCUCCGGCUAACUA